AAAAACUUUUUGACUUGCUGCACAUGCACUGAUAGAAAAGUUAACGCGCUGGACGUGUACUGUACGUAGUGGACGUGUAAAUUGGCUGGCAGAGAGCUAUUUUCGGAUCGUACUUCGGGAACGUUUAGUACACGUGUACUGCGUCAGUAAACGUCCAGUACGUUUGCUCUGGUA